AAGAGGUAAAUGUGCUAAAAAAGUGUAGCGUACUGCAAAAUAUUGUCACCAGUGUUGUAGUAGACUGUAAUUAGCUUAGGAAGCUAAGUUUCUUUGGCGAUGACUCCAUGUUUGUGACCAUUUCUGUAGAGUUCUGAACGUGUGACGGGUGUAUGUUUAAUGGUCACGUGCUGUGGGAAGGACUGAAGAGCGGGUUGGCGUGAGUAAUGACAGUGUCCUAACAGAUUUCAAAGUUGUUAAGUUUAUACUGUUAUUCACUGUGCAUAACUCUGUAUGUUUUUGUUUGAUUCAGAGGGGAGAUCACUUGCUAUGUGAUUCCUGCGUGUGUACUUGUUCUAGCAGUGGCUGUGUGGAGAAACCAAAGUCACUACUGUUGUCUAUACUGUUUGAAUUUAAUGUGUACAUAUGAUAGUUACUGUUGUCUCAGACCCUGAAAGACAGUUUUAGGCUGAGCCAGUGGAUAAGUUAAAUUUUGCCGUUUUCACUCAAAACUAUAGAAUAAAAACUGUGCUCCUCCGAGUACAGUCGGAGAAUAAAAAAGCCCACAAAAGAGUA